ensembl:miRNA
CGCCGCACAGGCCGUCCUCCCCAACAAUAUCCUGGUGCUGAGUGAUGACACAGGCGACUCCAGCAUCAGUGAUUUUGUUGAAGAGGGCAGCUGCCA